rnacentral:misc_RNA from 1 species
GAUGAAGAACGUAGUGAAAUGCGAUAAGUAAUGUGAAUUGCAGAAUUCAGUGAAUCAUCGAAUCUUUGAACGCACAUUGCGCCCGCCAGUAUUCUGGCGGGCAUGCCUGUUCGAGCGUCAUUUCAACCAUCAAGCCCUGUGCUUGUGUUGGGGGCCUGCGGCUGCCGCAGCCCCCUAAAAGCAGUGGCGGGCUCGCUGUCAUUCCGAGCGCAGUAACUUAUCUCGCUUUGGUCGUGGCGGUGGGCACCUGCCGUAAAACACUCUUUUUCACAAGGUUGACCUCGGAUCAGGUAGGAAUACCCGCUGAACUUAAGAAUAUCAAUAAGCGGAGGA